rnacentral:rRNA from 1 species
ACGUAGUUUGACUCCGUGGCUACAGAACGAACGCUGGCGGCAUGCCUAACACAUGCAAGUCGAACGAGACCUUCGGGUCUAGUGGCGCACGGGUGCGUAACGCGUGGGAACCUGCCUUUAGGUUCGGAAUAACUCAGAGAAAUUUGAGCUAAUACCGGAUGAUGUCUUCGGACCAAAGAUUUAUCGCCUUUAGAUGGGCCCGCGUAAGAUUAGCUAGUUGGUGGGGUAAAGGCCUACCAAGGCGACGAUCUUUAGCUGGUCUGAGAGGAUGAUCAGCCACACUGGGACUGAGACACGGCCCAGACUCCUACGGGAGGCAGCAGUGGGGAAUAUUGGACAAUGGGCGAAAGCCUGAUCCAGCAAUGCCGCGUGAGUGAUGAAGGCCUUAGGGUUGUAAAGCUCUUUUACCCGAGAUGAUAAUGACAGUAUCGGGAGAAUAAGCUCCGGCUAACUCCGUG